rnacentral:rRNA from 1 species
GACGAACGCUGGCGGCGUGCUUAACACAUGCAAGUCGAACGAUGAAGCCCUUCGGGGUGGAUUAGUGGCGAACGGGUGAGUAACACGUGGGCAAUCUGCCCUUCACUCUGGGACAAGCCCUGGAAACGGGGUCUAAUACCGGAUAACACUCUGUCCCGCAUGGGACGGGGUUCAAAGCUCCGGCGGUGAAGGAUGAGCCCGCGGCCUAUCAGCUUGUUGGUGGGGUGAUGGCCUACCAAGGCGACGACGGGUAGCCGGCCUGAGAGGGCGACCGGCCACACUGGGACUGAGACACGGCCCAGACUCCUACGGGAGGCAGCAGUGGGGAAUAUUGCACAAUGGGCGAAAGCCUGAUGCAGCGACGCCGCGUGAGGGAUGACGGACUUCGGGUUGUAAACCUCUUUCAGCAGGGAAGAAGCGAGAGUGACGGUACCUGCAGAAGAAGCGCCGGCUAACUACGUG